ACGGCUCAGUAACACGUGGACAAUCUGCCCUGAAGAAGAGAAUAAUCCCGGGAAACUGGGGGUAAUGCUCUAUAGUCCGGCAUGACUGGAAUGUCAGCCGUAUGAAAGAUCCGUCGCUUCAGGAUGAGUCUGCGGCCGAUUAGGUGGUUGUUGGGGUAAAAGCCCAACAAGCCCGUAAUCGGUACGGGUUGUGGGAGCAAGAGCCCGGAGAUGGAUUCUGAGACACGAAUCCAGGCCCUACGGGGCGCAGCAGGCGCGAAAACUUUACAAUGCGGGCAACCGUGAUAAGGAAACCCCGAGUGCCAGCACAGGCUGGCUGUCCGCCAGUGUAAAAAACUGGUGAAGAAAGGGCCGGGCAAGACCGGUGCCAGCCGCCGCGGUAAUACCGGCGGCUCGAGUGGUGGCCGCUUUUACUGGGCUUAAAGGGUCCGUAGCUGGAUUCACAAGUCCCUUGAGAAAUCUAUCGGCUUAACUGAUAGGCGUUCAGGGGAUACUGUGGUUCUAGGGACCGGGAGAGGUGAGAGGUACUGCCGGGGUAGGAGUGAAAUCCUGUAAUCCCGGUGGGACGACCUAUGGCGAAGGCAUCUCACCAGAACGGCUCCGACAGUGAGGGAUGAAAGCUGGGGGAGCAAACCGGAUUAGAUACCCGGGUAGUCCCAGCUGUAAACGAUGCAGACUCGGUGAUGGGUUGGCUUUGAGCCAACCCAGUGCCGCAGGGAAGCCGUUAAGUCUGCCGCCUGGGGAGUACGGUCGCAAGACUGAAACUUAAAGGAAUUGGCGGGGGAG
rnacentral:rRNA from 1 species